AACGAACGCUGGCGGCAGGCCUAACACAUGCAAGUCGAGCGGCAGCGCGGGGCAACCUGGCGGCGAGCGGCGAACGGGUGAGUAAUACAUCGGAACGUACCCAGUUGUGGGGGAUAGCCCGGCGAAAGCCGGAUUAAUACCGCAUACGACCUGAGGGUGAAAGGGGGGGAUCGCAAGACCUCUCGCAGUUGGAGCGGCCGAUGGCGGAUUAGCUAGUUGGUAGGGUAAAGGCCUACCAAGGCGACGAUCCGUAGCUGGUCUGAGAGGACGACCAGCCACACUGGAACUGAGACACGGUCCAGACUCCUACGGGAGGCAGCAGUGGGGAAUUUUGGACAAUGGGGGGCAACCCUGAUCCAGCCAUGCCGCGUGCGGGAAGAAGGCCUUCGGGUUGUUAAACCGGA
rnacentral:rRNA from 1 species